rnacentral:rRNA from 1 species
GACGAACGCUGGCGGCGUGCUUAACACAUGCAAGUCGAACGGAAAGGCCCUGCGUUUGCGGGGUGCUCGAGUGGCGAACGGGUGAGUAACACGUGAGGAACCUGCCCUUGACAUUGGGAUAUCUCCAGGAAACUGGGGCGAUAACCGCGUAGAAUCUCUUGCUCCGCGUGGUGGGUUGGAAAGUUUCGGCGUUGGGGGCUGUACUCGCGGGUUAUGAGCUGUUUGGGGGGGUAGUGGCUUACAAGGGCUUUGACGGGUAGCCGGCCUGAGAGGGGGGCCGGGCACAAUGGGACUGAGGUACGGACCAGAAUCCUACGGGAGGCAGCAGUGGGGAAUAUUGCACAAUGGGCGGAAGCCUGAUGCAGAAACCCCGGGUGCGGGAAGCCGGGCUUCUGGGUGUAAACCGCCUUCGCCUGUGCCGAAGCGGGAGUGACGGUAAUGGGUCAAAAAGCACCGGCUAACUACGUG